rnacentral:rRNA from 1 species
GUGGAUUAGAUACCCGGGUAGUCCACGCUGUAAACGAUGAAUACUAGGUGUAGGGGGUAUCAACUCCCCCUGUGCCGGAGCUAACGCAAUAAGUAUUCCGCCUGGGGAGUACGGCCGCAAGGUUGAAACUCAAAGGAAUUGACGGGGGCCCGCACAAGCAGCGGAGCAUGUGGUUUAAUUCGAAGCAACGCGAAGAACCUUACCAAGGCUUGACAUCCACUUAAACGCAUGGAAACAUGCGGUCUCUUCGGAGGAAGUGAGACAGGUGGUGCACGGUCGUCGACAACU